UGUCUAUAUCCAUAUAUAGAUAUAUAGAGAUCCAUAUAUAUCCUCUAUAUAUGGAUACAUCUAUAUAUAGAGAGAUCUCUCUAAAUAUCUCUAUAUCUAUAACUAUAUCUACAUCUACAUCUAUAGCUAUAUCAACAUCCAAUUUGUUCUUUUUCUCUGAGAACACCUACUGAUAAAUAAGUUUCUAAGUUUUGUCUAUCAGUUGAUGCUAAAACAUUAAAAAAAGAGAACAACUAAUACUCUUUUUACACUAAUUAGAACAAUGUAAGCCUUUUUGUUUUAUUACCAAAUAAUUUGUAUUUCCUAUGUAAUUGCUGCAGUUUUAUUUUGCAUAUAGAUUUUUUUUCCGUAACAUCUUUGUCUGUUAGUGGUUUUAUUUAUGAAUAAAUAAAUCCUUAGAUUCAUCCCACUUCUGAGGUCAGACAUCAAAUCUUUUCACUACAUGCCUCUCUUUGGGAGGUUUCUUUCUUGCUAAUCCAAACAAGAACAUCUGCACAAUUGUCAACCUGGAAUUUACUUUAUUAAUCUCCUGGUUUGGAAACACUUUUUCUUGGAUGUUAUAUUUACUUUAGUUUACUAUUUUGUUGGCUUGCACUAAUUUUAUAUGAUUUCUUAAUAAUGAGUGUAUGUUAGACAUUUUACUUGAGUCUUUUCAUAUCACGGUAUGCCUUUAUUUUACCCUCAUAUAUAAUUAAUUUUCAUCUGGGCAUAUAUUUCCAGAUUAGAAAUCAUUUCUUUUCAUACAUUUUAAGGAAUUUAUACAUUUGCAUCUGAAAUUGUAUUCAUUAUCUUCUAGAAACCAAGAGUGGACUUGGUAUCCGUCUGAUUAUAUUUUCUUUGUUGGUAAAGAGCCUCUUUUUUCCCUUUUUAUUUUCAUCUUCUCUUUCUCUAGUGUUUAUAAUCUUAUUUUUAUGAAUGUAGUCUAAUUAUUUAGAACACUGUCUCCGAGUAUGUGUUUAUUUGGGUUUGUGUUUUGAACAUUGCCUCCAGGUGCGAGUUUAUGUGUGUUUAUGUUUCCUAUUUGAGGUUGGACACUUAGAAAAUUUUCUCAAUUCGAAAACUAUUUUCCUUCAGCACUCAGAAAUUUUUAUCAAAGAUUAUUUCCACGAUUAUUUCCUGUCCUUGGUUUUUCGUGUUCUUAACCUAGAAUUCAAUUGUUUAAUGUUAGACCUUACACAUCUUCAAUGUAUCAUAUAUAUUUCACUCAUAUUAUUUAUUGUCAUAUCUUUUGGACUAUUGUGUGAAAGCAAUAAAUGUAUAUUACUUUAUUUAUUGGUAAUGCUCUUCAUUUUCAAAUUUAAUACACACAAAUUGUGCAUACCCACACACAUAUACCACAGAUAUAUUCAUUUUCAGGAUUUCUUUAAGUGUUAUUUUAAAAAUAAUCAUAUUCUUAUUUUGUGAACUGUGGGAUUUCUUGAAACUUUUUGAAAACUCUCAUUAGUCUGUGUUUGUGUGGUUUCUUUAAAUUAUCUCUUCCUUCAGAAUUACUUUUGUGUUUUGAAUUUGAGUCUUUGCCAUUCAUAAGGCGGGCUUUCCUUGAAUACCAGAUAACUCUGAGUUUCCUGUUCAUAUUUAAGAAUAAAUAACCUAAUUUGAAG
rnacentral:lncRNA from 1 species